rnacentral:rRNA from 1 species
GACGAACGCUGGCGGCGUGCUUAACACAUGCAAGUCGAGCGGUAAGGCCCUUUCGGGGGUACACGAGCGGCGAACGGGUGAGUAACACGUGGGUGACCUGCCCUCCACUCUGGGAUAAGCCCGGGAAACUGGGUCUAAUACCGGAUAGGACACAUGAUCGCAUGGUUGUGUGUGGAAAGUUUUUUCGGUGGGGGAUGGGCCCGCGGCCUAUCAGCUUGUUGGUGGGGUAAUGGCCUACCAAGGCGGUGACGGGUAGCCGGCCGGAGAGGGCGACCGGAAACGGUGGGAGUGAGCCGCGGCCCAGACUCCUGCGGGGGGCAGCAGUGGGGAAUAUUGCGAAAUGGGGGGAGGCCGGACGCAGCGACGCCGGGUGGGGGAGGACAGCCUUCGGGUUGUAAACCUCUUUCGCCAGGGACGAAGCUUUUGUGACGGUACCUGGAGAAGAAGCCCCGGCAAACUACGUGCCAGCCGCCGCGGUAA